AAGACUCUCCAUGACCUUCUUCAAUCUAGCAGUGAUUACUUUUGAUAUAACUUUAUAUAUUGUUGAGCAGCAUGAGAUUGGCCUAAAUUCAUUAAUUCUUGUUGGGUUCUCCACUUUUGGUAUAAGUGUUACAUCAUUACAGGUUAGUACAUCUCACCAGUAUCAAAGAACUUUAAUAUUGCUUGUAUGAUGUCAUCCCACACUAUUGGCCAUGUUCUUUUGAAAACUACAACAUUUAAUCCAUCUAUUCCUGGAGCUUUUAGAUCAUUGAUGCUUUGCAAAGCUAUUUCCAUUUCUAUCCUUGUUACUUGGGCUGCUAGCUGAAUCUGUUGAUCUUUCCUCCCCUUCUCAUUAUAGUGGUAUCUACACUUGGUAGACAUGAAGCAGCCUGUCCAAGUAAUCCCUGAUAGAAUUUGAGUGCCUUUUCCUCAAUGUCCUUCUUGGAAUAUAUUAUUGUACCUGCAUCAGUAGUAAGAUUAGUGAUAAUAUUUUGUGCCAGUCUAUUUUUCAUAUGGGCAAAGAAGUAUCCUGUAUUAGCAUCCCCUAGAUUCAACCAUUGCACCCUGGAUUUCUGCCUUAUGGCACUUUCCUCCACCAGACUCCAUUUCUCUAGCUGCUUCCUCAGUUCCCUUUCUUGUUCCCUAUUAGCAUGUACCAUAUUAUGAUCUAUCAUCUAUGUUUGGACUGUAUACAGUUGUUCUCUGAUGUGCUUGGUUUUGUCCUUCACACCUUUGAAUUUCGAAUUGUUCAAUUCUUUCAACUCGAUUUUCACCUUUCUAAGCUUUCACCAAAUUGUCUUCAUGUCUCCUCUUUUAUGUCCUUGCCAAGCUUGUUCAAACUAUUUGAAGGAAUUUAGGGUGAUCUGCUAUGCAAUUAAAGAACCUAAAUGCUUUGUCAGUGUUCUUGCAGCUUGUGUCCAGACCCAGACUCAGAGGGGAGUGAUCCGACAUUCCUGGCCUUAAAAUCCUUACCUCCAUGACUGACAUUUGAAGCAUCCAUUCAGCAUUUACUAUAGCCCUAUCAAUCCUGCUAUAAGUGUGCCCAUUAGUUCAAGUAUAAGUGCCACCAACUGUUGUCAAUUCAUUCAUCCCAGCAUCUAGUAUAAAUUCAUUGAAAUCUUUAACUUCUAUAUCCUACACUAGACUACCUUGGGGUCUAUCCUCUGGCUUUAGUCCGAAUUAUUUUUACUAUAGUGAAAAAAAUAUAAACAUUUUUUGGAGUUCUGCUUUCUUUUUUUAUGAUUAUUUUUAUCAAAAAUAUAGUCCUUUGAAUCAAAGUUUAUUUGGUAUGGCUCUUGGCUUUUGGUUAUCAGUCAAAAGAGUAAAAAGUUAAAAUUUACAAAUUCCAAUCUAUAAUGUUUAACUUAUUGUUAUUAUUUCAGUUUAAAAUCUUAUAUUUAUAAAUAUAUUUUUUAAUAUCAAAAUACUCUAAAAAUUAACCCUUCACAACAUAAAUUAAAUUAUCGAGUCUUUGUAAUAUAUAACAAUAUUUUAACUUUAAACACAAAUAAGACUAUUUAAACAUGCUCUUACUUUUCUAUAAGAAUUUCUGAAAUAGUGAUCGGGCUUUUUUUUUUUUUUUGUUUAAAGAAAAGUAACAAAAACAAAUAUAAUAUUCCUUCUGUCUUUUUUACGUAACACCCUUUCUUUUUUAGUAUGUUCUAAGAAAAUAUUACCUUAUUAUAAUUUUAAAAAGUUUAAUUUAAAAAAAAUCACCCUUAAUAAAAUGAUUUGCGACUAAACAAUAUUAAAGAAUUAUCUUAAAUCACACACUUUAAAAAAUAUAUAUAUAUCAUAUCAAAAUUAAACAAUAUCACAUUAAAUGAGAUAGAAGAUUCGUGUUUUCCUCAAUAUUGGAGAGAGGUCUUCAAGUUGUUUUGUUUUGUGCUGUCUAUUCUCGUUUUCCGCAAUUGUUUCCGACUAGUGAGAGGUGGACAGACACAAUUGCUUCAUAUCUUAAGGCAAAUAAAUCUUAACUACAAAAUGAAAACCAAAAAGAGUAAAAAUAGAGUGCAUUCUCGAUCCGCCUUUACGUGAUACAUUUAUUUUUUUUAAAAAUCAUCUAAAGAAAAUAGCGAGAUUUCUUUUAUUAUAUAUAUUUAAAAUGCCGUAACUCUAAAAAGAAUAACUCUUGAUGAAAAUUAGGAUUUUUUUGUCUUCACAAACUAUUUAACAAAAUCUAAUUGUUGGAUUUUUAAUAAGAAUUAUGAAAAGAAAGUUUUAAGAUGAACUAGUAUUUGAAGGUGUAACUUUUACUAUUAGUGACCUAUUUUUUAAAGGGAAAAAGGUCAAAUAUGCCCCUAAACUAUUCGAAAAUGUCUAAAUAUACCUCUCAUUUAAAGUUUGGCCUACUCGUGUCCUCGCUAUCCAACUUUUGGCAUAGAUAUGCCCUUAUGGGCGUUUUUUGGUCUGCUGGAAAUAUCCAACUCAUUUUACAUUUCUUUAAAUGCCAAAUGGAAUUGCCACGUCAUUUUUACAUUACCACAUGACAUUUAUAUUAAAAGGGAAAGGGGUCAACCUAAACUAUUUGGAGCUCUUUUAAAACACCUAUCCGACCCAUAACAAAGGGGUCAAUUAUGCCCCUAAUCCGACCCAUAAAUCAACCCCUCUUUCAGGGCUUUGAUUGGGUUCUUUCGGAUCGGAGGAAAAGCGAACCGAAUCAACGAUGUUCUUGGUAGAUUGGUUCUAUGGAAUUCUGGCAACCCUUGGUUUAUGGCAGAAGGAGGCUAAGAUCUUGUUUUUUGGGUCUCGAUAAUGCCGGAAAGAUCACCUUGCUCCAUAUGUUGAAAGAUGAGGUCUCUUACCGUUUUCUCCCCUUUAGAUAUGUUUUAUCAUAUAAUUUGUGUCGUUUAAAUUCUUUUAAUUACAUAUGUACAUGUGAUUAUUUGUAUGAGAAUCGGUGAAGAAAUGGAGAUUCAUCUGAUUUCCUGAAUUCUCCCAUUUUCACCUGAAAUGGAAUUUCUCUUGAUAUGGCUUUAUGGAUCUUAGAUCUUUAUGAAGAAAGAGUUACAAGUUUGAUUAGUUUGAAAAGGCCUGUUUUUUCUGCUAUUGGUUACUUGUAAUCUUGAAUCUGAGAUUGAAACUUUAUUGAAUUUGUGGCAGAAAUUGGUUCAACAUCAGCCAACACAAUACCCAACGUCAGAGGAGCUUAGUAUUGGAAAGAUCAAGUUCAAAGAGGGGUUGAUUUAUGGGUUAGAUUAGGG
rnacentral:lncRNA from 1 species